rnacentral:rRNA from 1 species
GACGAACGCUGGCGGCGUGCUUAACACAUGCAAGUCGAACGGAAAGGCCCUGCUUGCAGGGUACUCGAGUGGCGAACGGGUGAGUAACACGUGGGUGAUCUGCCCUGCACUUCGGGUUAAGCCUGGGCAACUGGGUCUAAUACCGGAUAGGAGCCAUUUUUAGUGUGAUGGUUGGAAAGUUUUUUCGGUGUAGGAUGAGCUCGCGGCCUAUCAGCUUGUUGGUGGGGUAAUGGCCUACCAAGGCGGCGACGGGUAGCCGGCCUGAGAGGGUGGACGGCCACAUUGGGACUGAGAUACGGCCCAGACUCCUACGGGAGGCAGCAGUGGGGAAUAUUGCACAAUGGGCGCAAGCCUGAUGCAGCGACGCCGCGUGGGGGAUGACGGCCUUCGGGUUGUAGACUCCGUUCGCUAGGGACGAAGCUUUUUGUGACGGUACCUAGAUAAGAAGCACCGGCUAACUACGUG